rnacentral:rRNA from 1 species
GUUGUCGGGUUUUAAUUAACUUGGUAACGCAGCUAAACGCGUGAAGUAGACCGCCUGGGGAGUACGGUCGCAAGAUUAAAACUCAAAGGAAUUGACGGGGACCCGCACAAGCGGUGGAUGAUGUGGAUUAAUUCGAUGCAACGCGAAAAACCUUACCUACCCUUGACAUGUCAGGAAGCUUGGAGAGAUCUGAGCGUGCCCGAAAGGGAACCUGAACACAGGUGCUGCAUGGCUGUCGUCAGCUCGUGUCGUGAGAUGUUGGGUUAAGUCCCGCAACGAGCGCAACCCUUGUCAUUAGUUGCUACAUUCAGUUGAGCACUCUAAUGAGACUGCCGGUGACAAACCGGAGGAAGGUGGGGAUGACGUCAAGUCCUCAUGGCCCCUUAUGGGUAGGGCUUCACACGUCAUACAAUGGUACAUACAGAGGGCCGCCAACCCGCGAGGGGGAGCUAAUCCCAGAAAGUGUAUCGUAGUCCGGAUCGCAGUCUGCAACUCGACUGCGUGAAGUUGGAAUCGCUAGUAAUCGCGGAUCAGCAUGUCGCGGUGAGUACGUU